CAGGCUUAACACAUGCAAGUCGAGGGGCAGCGGGGGAGUAGCAAUACUCCCGCCGGCGACCGGCGCACGGGUGAGUAACACGUAUGAAACCUGCCCGUAGCAGGGGGAUAAGCGGAAGAAAUUCCGUCUAAUACCGCGUAACAACCCGAGGAGGCAUCUCCUCGGGUUUAAAGGGAGCGAUUCCGGCUACGGAUGGUCAUGCGUCGCAUUAGCUUGUUGGCGGGGUAACGGCCCACCAAGGCGACGAUGCGUAGGGGUUCUGAGAGGAAGGUCCCCCACACUGGUACUGAGACACGGACCAGACUCCUACGGGAGGCAGCAGUGAGGAAUAUUGGUCAAUGGCCGCAGGGCUGAACCAGCCAAGUCGCGUGAGGGAUGACGGUCCUAUGGAUUGUAAACCUCUUUUGUCAGGGAGCAAAGGGCGCCACGUGUGGCGUUUUGCGAGUACCUGAAGAAAAAGCAUCGGCUAACUCCGUGCCAGCAGCCGCGGUAAUACGGAGGAUGCGAGCGUUAUCCGGAUUUAUUGGGUUUAAAGGGUGCGCAGGCGGAAUGUCAAGUCAGCGGUAAAAUUUCGGGGCUCAACCCCGUCGUGCCGUUGAAACUGGCGUUCUUGAGUGAGCGAGAAGUAUGCGGAAUGCGUGGUGUAGCGGUGAAAUGCAUAGAUAUCACGCAGAACUCCGAUUGCGAAGGCAGCAUACCGGCGCUCAACUGACGCUCAUGCACGAAAGCGUGGGUAUCGAACAGGAUUAGAUACCCUGGUAGUCCACGCAGUAAACGAUGAAUAAUAACUGUCCGGGCCGAUUGAGGUCUGGGUGGUACAGCGAAAAGCGUUAAGUAUUCCACCUGGGGAGUACGCCGGCAACGGUGAAACUCAAAGGAAUUGACGGGGGCCCGCACAAGCGGAGGAACAUGUGGUUUAAUUCGAUGAUACGCGAGGAACCUUACCCGGGCUCAAACGACGGAUGGAUGUCUCUGAAAGGAGGCAGUCCUACGGGACAUCCGUCGAGGUGCUGCAUGGUUGUCGUCAGCUCGUGCCGUGAGGUGUCGGCUUAAGUGCCAUAACGAGCGCAACCCCCAUCGCCAGUUACCAGCAAGUAAAGUUGGGGACUCUGGCGAGACUGCCGGCGCAAGCUGUGAGGAAGGCGGGGAUGACGUCAAAUCAGCACGGCCCUUACGUCCGGGGCGACACACGUGUUACAAUGGCAGGUACAGAGAGAAGCGAUGCGGCGACGCAGAGCGGAACUUCAAAGCCUGUCUCAGUUCGGAUUGGAGUCUGCAACCCGACUCCAUGAAGCUGGAUUCGCUAGUAAUCGCGCAUCAGCCACGGCGCGGUGAAUACGUUCCCGGGCCU
rnacentral:rRNA from 1 species